GAGGGCUUACAAGUGCAUUUCUGCAGUUUAUUAACCCAAAGCACACCUUGAUGGCUGAUGGAGUGUGUGCCUCCCUCACCAGCGGGGCACCUAGGCUGUGCCCAGAGCUCAGAUUGGCACCUGGAGGCAGGGGAGGGACAAUGUGUGACAGCCAGGUGAGAAUCUGACCUGCUCCCACCUGGACUGCACUGCUCUCAUGCAGUGGCCAAGGCAAAGCUGACUCUGGGGUGUCAGGGCUUUCCCCAGAGCUCUGGUGGCCCGAGGAGCAGCAGGAGGAGCAGCAGGAGGAGCAGCAGGAGGAGCAGGGCUGUGCCAGCCCUACCUGUCCAGGUGGAAGGCAGCGAUCUCCGCGUUGUGCCGCUGGAAAUCCACAAAGUAGAAGAAAUCCUCAGGAGUCUCCUCCUCACGUUUCUGCCUGGGAGAAAGCAGGGGGUGAGCCCUGGGCAGCCUGGACACUGAGUGGUGGCACAAGGACAGCUGGUGGGCUCGGGGACAGCUCCUGUGGGGCUACACUGGGGACAGGGUCAGAGCACAAGGGCUCAGUGCCCAGCUGGAGCCACCACCCGCCGUGCCAGGGAGCAGCACUUGCACCCUGGGGGAGGCAGAGGAGCUGACUGGGGCUUUACAUCUGCUUCAGCAAGAGCUUAGACCUCUUAGGACAAAGUUUCAGGUGGUGUUUGUCACAUCCCCCCUGGAGGCAGAGGAGGGCUCAGGUCUGAUGCUCUCCUAUCCCUGAAGACCUGGUGGACACUGGGCAGAGCUGGAUGGAAGCCCAGGGGAGAGGAGCUGGCUGCCUUCUGGGUGAGGAUUGAUUAUCCCAGCCCACGUGCUGCCAGCUGCUCUGCUCACACAUGGACAGUGAAGUGAGAGGGAAUUGAUGUGAAGAGUCCCAAGGGGCUGCAAGUAAGAGCAGAAGCAAUUUAAAUCCCCUGUGUGAUGGCUGCUUCUUGGAAAUAUUCUGGGGAAUCCAAGGAAAACCAAGGCAAACCCCAAAGUCUGCUGGGGAAGAGCUGUCCCUCAUGGCAAGGAUCUCAGGAGAACAAGUGUCCCAAGGUCCUUCUCCACCUGGCACCCAUGAAAAGAGACAUUUCCAACAUCAACAGCA